AAAUUGAAGAGUUUGAUCAUGGCUCAGAUUGAACGCUGGCGGCAGGCCUAACACAUGCAAGUCGAGCGGUAGCACAGAGAGCUUGCUCUCGGGUGACGAGCGGCGGACGGGUGAGUAAUGUCUGGGAAACUGCCUGAUGGAGGGGGAUAACUACUGGAAACGGUAGCUAAUACCGCAUAAUGUCGCAAGACCAAAGUGGGGGACCUUCGGGCCUCAUGCCAUCAGAUGUGCCCAGAUGGGAUUAGCUAGUAGGUGGGGUAAUGGCUCACCUAGGCGACGAUCCCUAGCUGGUCUGAGAGGAUGACCAGCCACACUGGAACUGAGACACGGUCCAGACUCCUACGGGAGGCAGCAGUGGGGAAUAUUGCACAAUGGGCGCAAGCCUGAUGCAGCCAUGCCGCGUGUGUGAAGAAGGCCUUCGGGUUGUAAAGCACUUUCAGCGGGG
rnacentral:rRNA from 1 species